AUACGUAGGGGGCGAGCGUUGUCCGGAAUGAUUGGGCGUAAAGGGCGCGUAGGCGGCCCAGUAAGUCUGGAGUGAAAGUCCUGUUUUUAAGAUGGGAAUUGCUUUGGAUACUGUCGGGCUUGAGUGCAGGAGAGGUAAGUGGAAUUCCCAGUGUAGCGGUGAAAUGCGUAGAGAUUGGGAGGAACACCAGUGGCGAAGGCGACUUACUGGACUGUAACUGACGCUGAGGCGCGAAAGUGUGGGGAGCAAACAGGAUUAGAUACCCUGGUAGUCCACACUGUAAACGAUGAAUGCUAGGUGUAGGGGGUAUCGACCCCUUCUGUGCCGCAGUCAACACAAUAAGCAUUCCACCUGGGGAGUACGACCGCAAGGUUGAAACUUAAAGGAAUUGACGGGG
rnacentral:rRNA from 1 species